rnacentral:rRNA from 1 species
AUUGAACGCUGGCGGCAGGCCUAACACAUGCAAGUCGAACGGUAACAGGAAGCAGCUUGCUGCUUUGCUGACGAGUGGCGGACGGGUGAGUAAUGUCUGGAAAACUGCCCGAUGGAGGGGGAUAACUACUGGAAACGGUAGCUAAUACCGCAUAACGUCGCAAGCCCAAAGAGGGGGAGCUAAGGGCCUCUUGCCAUCGGGUGUGCCCAGAUGGGAUUAGCUAGUCGGUGGGGUAACGGCUCACCUAGGCGACGAUCCAUAGCGGGUCUGAGAGGCUGACCGGCCACACUGGAACUGAGCCACGGUCCAGACUCCUACGGGAGGCAGCAGUGGGGAAUCUUGCACAAUGGGCGCAAGCCUGAUGCAGCCAUGCCGCGUGUAUGAAGAAGGCCUUCGGGUUGUAAAGUACUUUCAGCGGGGAGGAAGGGAGUAAAGUUAAUCCCUUUGCUCAUUGACGUUACCCGCAGAAGAAGCACCGGCUAACUACGUG